rnacentral:rRNA from 1 species
GACGAACGCUGGCGGCGUGCUUAACACAUGCAAGUCGAACGGAAAGGCCCAGCUUUCUGGGUGCUCGAGUGGCGAACGGGCGAGUAACACAUGGGUGAUUUGCCUCUCACUUCGGGAUAAGCUUGGGCAACUGGGUCUAAUACAGGAUAGGUCAAUCGUUUAGCGUCGGUUUUGGAUAGUUUUUUCGGUUUGGGCUGAGUCUGCGGCCUAUCGGCUUGUUGGUGGAGUAAUGGCCUACCAAGACGGCGUGGGGUAGCCGACCUGGGAGGUGGGACGGCGACAUGGGGCCUGCGGGACGGACCAGACGCGAAUGGUACGCAGCGGUGGGAAAUAUUACAGAAUGGGGGCAAGCCUGAGGUGGAGACGCCGGGUUGGGGAAGACGGCCUUCGGGUUGUAAACAUCUUUCGACGGAGACGAAGCCUUGGUGACGGUACCUAAAUAGAAAGCACCGGCUAACUACGUG